AUCUAUGUGUAUGUCUGUCUGUAUCUGUGGUGUGUGUGUGUGUGUGUGUGUGUGUGCGCGCAUGUUUUGCGUGUGUGCGGAUAAAAAUAUGAGGCCAUAUCUAUGUGCAUGUAUCUGUGAUCACUUUGUAUCCUUAUGGGUGUGUCACCAUUUGUGUGUGUGUGUGUAUCUCUCUGUGUCCGUGCGUGUCUCUCUGCGUGUGUGAGAGUCUGUAUCAGUGUGCGGGUGUCGGGACGCGGAUAUUCGGUUGCCGAGGCAGUUUGCUAUGUGGCAUUAAGGCGAUCUUGAAGCGAUGCCAGAACACGCCUUUUCCAAGAAGCCGAGCCGCGUCUUUAUUUAGUCAGCCUGCACGUGAAGAAACCGAGCCGGAAACGUGACAUUGUCGGGGCAGCGAGAGCAGGUCAGGACUGGGAAGUUGUGAAUGGAACUGAACAUUGUGCAAUCAUCUUUGAACAUCUCAACUUAUGCUCUUAUGAUGGAAGGAAGGUCAUUGAUGAAACAGCUGAGGAUGACUAAACCUACUACACUGCCGCAUUGAUGUCCUGGGACCAGGAUGGUCUACGAACAAACGUAACCUUCUUCCUUUGUUCAAGGUUCAAUAGACUCUGAUGACUCGAGGAGCAGCAAACCCUUUUAAG